rnacentral:tRNA from 1 species
GCCGCGAUAGCUUAGGUCGGGAGUUUAACACGUAUUUUAAUUAACCCGUAAGCGCUGGACUGAAGAUCCAGUUGUCGUGAGUUCAAAUCUCACUCGCGGCGCCA